rnacentral:rRNA from 1 species
UCAUAAUCAGUGAAAACGAGUAGGGCGGGACACGUGAUAUCCUGUCUGAAUAUGGGGGGACCAUCCUCCAAGGCUAAAUACUACUGACUGACCGAUAGUGAACCAGUACCGUGAGGGAAAGGCGAAAAGAACCCCUGUGAGGGGAGUGAAAUAGAACCUGAAACCGUGUACGUACAAGCAGUAGGAGCACCUUCGUGGUGUGACUGCGUACCUUUUGUAUAAUGGGUCAGCGACUUAAUUUUAGUAGCAAGGUUAACCGUUUAGGGGAGCCGUAGGGAAACCGAGUCUUAACUGGGCGUACAGUUGCUAGGAUUAGACCCGAAACCAGGUGAUCUAGCCAUGGGCAGGUUGAAGGUUGAGUAACAUCAACUGGAGGACCGAACCGACUAAUGUUGAAAAAUUAGCGGAUGACUUGUGGCUAGGGGUGAAAGGCCAAUCAAACCUGGAGAUAGCUGGUUCUCCCCGAAAGCUAUUUAGGUAGCGCCUCGGACGAAUACUACUGGGGGUAGAGCACUGUUAAGGCUAGGGGGUCAUCCCGACUUACCAACCCUUUGCAAACUCCGAAUACCAGUAAGUACUAUCCGGGAGACACACGGCGGGUGCUAACGUCCGUCGUGGAGAGGGAAACAACCCAGACCGCCAGCUAAGGUCCCAAAGUAUAGCUAAGUGGGAAACGAUGUGGGAAGGCUCAGACAGCCAGGAUGUUGGCUUAGAAGCAGCCAUCAUUUAAAGAAAGCGUAAUAGCUCACUGGUCGAGUCGGCCUGCGCGGAAGAUGUAACGGGGCUAAGCUAUACACCGAAGCUGCGGCUACGUACCUUAGGGUAUGUGGGGUAGGGGAGCGUUCUGUAAGCCGUUGAAGGUGUGCUGUAAGGCAUGCUGGAGGUAUCAGAUAACGCUGAGAUACGAUGUCGAGCUACUACGGUAGUGAAGUCAUUGAUGCCAUGCUUCCAGGAAAAGCCUCUAAGCUUCAGAUUGUAAGGAAUCGUACCCCAAACCGACACAGGUGGUCGGGUAGAGAAUACCAAGGCGCUUGAGAGAACUCGGGUGAAGGAACUAGGCAAAAUGGUACCGUAACUUCGGGAGAAGGUACGCUCUUAUCAGUGAAGUCCCUUGCGGAUGGAGCAGACGAGAGUCGCAGAUACCAGGUGGCUGCAACUGUUUAUUAAAAACACAGCACUGUGCAAAAUCGUAAGAUGACGUAUACGGUGUGACGCCUGCCCGGUGCCGGAAGGUUAAUUGAUGGGGUUAGACUUCGGUCGAAGCUCUUGAUCGAAGCCCCGGUAAACGGCGGCCGUAACUAUAACGGUCCUAAGGUAGCGAAAUUCCUUGUCGGGUAAGUUCCGACCUGCACGAAUGGCGUAAUGAUGGCCACGCUGUCUCCACCCGAGACUCAGUGAAAUUGAAAUCGCUGUGAAGAUGCAGUGUACCCGCGGCUAGACGGAAAGACCCCGUGAACCUUUACUACAGCUUGGCACUGAACAUUGAACCUACAUGUGUAGGAUAGGUGGGAGACUAUGAAAUUGCGUCGCUAGAUGUGAUGGAGUCGUCCUUGAAAUACCACCCUUGUAGUUUUGAUGUUCUAACGUUGGUCCCUGAAUCGGGAUUACGGACAGUGCCUGGUGGGUAGUUUGACUGGGGCGGUCUCCUCCCAAAGAGUAACGGAGGAGCACGAAGGUGGGCUAAACACGGUUGGACAUCGUGUGGUUAGUGCAAUGGCAUAAGCCCGCUUGACUGCGAGAAUGACAAUUCGAGCAGGUGCGAAAGCAGGUCAUAGUGAUCCGGUGGUUCUGAAUGGAAGGGCCAUCGCUCAACGGAUAAAAGGUACUCCGGGGAUAACAGGCUGAUACCGCCCAAGAGUUCAUAUCGACGGCGGUGUUUGGCACCUCGAUGUCGGCUCAUCACAUCCUGGGGCUGAAGUCGGUCCCAAGGGUAUGGCUGUUCGCCAUUUAAAGUGGUACGCGAGCUGGGUUUAGAACGUCGUGAGACAGUUCGGUCCCUAUCUGCCGUGGGCGUUGGAAAAUUGAAAGGGGCUGCUCCUAGUACGAGAGGACCGGAGUGGACGAACCUCUGGUGUUCGGGUUGUCAUGCCAAUGGCAUUGCCCGGUAGCUAAGUUCGGAAUCGAUAACCGCUGAAAGCAUCUAAGCGGGAAGCGAGCCUUGAGAUGAGUUUUCCCUGGCACUAUAAGUGUCCUAAAGGGUUGUCGUAGACUACGACGUUGAUAGGCAGGGUGUGUAAGUGCUGCGAGGCAUUGAGCUAACCUGUACUAAUUGCCCGUGAGGCUUAACCAUACAACACCCAAGGGGUUU